CUGCCCUCAAGCACGGCUUGUGUGUUGGGUGUGGUCCCCCCGUUUUAGGGGGACCUGCCCGAAAGGCAGCGGCGACGUCGCGUCGGGUCCUCGAGCGUAUGGGGCUUUGUCACUCGCUCGGGAGGGACCUGCGGGCGUUGGUCACCCAACUGUAUUUUUCCAC
rnacentral:misc_RNA from 1 species